rnacentral:lncRNA from 1 species
AAACAAGAAAUGAGUGGUGACUUCUGGAAGAUUGGUGACCAUAUGAAUAAUUUUUCAAUUGGAAACUUUGAGCAAUUUAAGAAUAAGGUUUCUACUUUCUAGGAUUUGAACAGAGUGCAGAAGGACCAAGUAUAGAUGUCGAGAUAUAGAAUCUUAACUUAGAGAAUUAUUUUAGACUACUUAGUAAUAGUGUUCUUGACAUCAUAAUUAGGAUAUAAAUAAAACCUUGGACUAUGGCACAUUAAAUACCGAAAGACAAAACUACCCUUGAGUCUAAUAAUAUAAUAAAUCCUAUGUAAAUAAACUCUAAAAGCUUAAUAUCUCAUUGUAAAAAGUGCAAAACUUGAUUAGCCUGUAGGACCUAUUUUCUCUUGGUAUUGUGGUUGGCAUGGUUCGUCAGAAAAAUCUCGAAUUAAUUGGAAAUCUAUAGUUUUGGCAGACUUUAUUUUUAAGGAUAGAGAGAACACUAGAAUUUUUGAGGGAGUGGCUACGGACUUUGAGCUUUUGUGGGAUUGCAUUUUGUUGAGUUUUUUGGAUGCUUGCUAGUAAAGAGUUUGGGGUUGUCCUAUAAUUUAGGGAACUGGUGUAUUGUGGUGUAGUUUUGGGUAUUUGUAAUUGUUGCUCUUAUUUAGAGAACGUUCUGUCGUCUCUUUUGUACUUUUUAUAUUUCUCGAUUAAGUUCCCAGUUACUCAUCACACUUGAGUGCUAAAACUUGUUCCAAGUACACUAAUGAAAGAAUCCCAGAUUUGCCCUUCUUUUCCUCCAUAUAUUAUGCAUCAAGGACAAGAAGAAUAACAUUGAAGGUGAUAUUGGUAUCAAUCAUCAGGAGAAGCUUUAAAGUUUUGAAUUGCAGAGACUCCUGGUGUAAUAUAUAAUAAAGUCUAAUGACUACAUACCUAUUAACUAUAUAUUAUUUUUAUUAUAUCUAGAAUUCAGAAUAAUUAAAUUAAAUUGACCCAUUAAGACCUGAGGCCCAAACUAUGGGAUGUAUACUGAUAUAUUAACAUUGUUAGAACAACUAUUAACUUUUAGAACAUAGGAAUUUCUCAACCAAAUAACUGCUACUUCUUGCUAAAUUGUAAUACUAGAAGAAAGCUGCUACAAAACGAUGUCUCAAUGAAGUCUGUACUCUUCCUUUUCCUGCUCAUGAAUUCUAUGCUAACUGUAUGCUAGAGAAAAGAUAUAUCGUUGAUCCUGGAUAUCAUAGUUGCUCUUACAUGGGUACUCUGCAGGAAUCUCGUCAUUGUUUUGCACAAGUUUUUUAGAAGCUCAAAAUACCAACCAAUUGGUCGUGCUGGUUAGGAUCAUUAUAUGACAGGAAAACAGAACUGACAAAAAGAUAGUCUGUCCAUAUUACUUACCCUAUUAUUGUUAAUACUGUCUUGGCUUUCAAACUUCCUCCAUGAGGAUUCUUCACUUUUGUGCCAAGUAGAAUUAUUAUUCAUUUGGACUCCAUAGAAUUUGUGAAUAAUUCAUGUUGACAAUUUUUUCCAAUUAAGACAAAUUUUCGUGCCUUAACAUGACUACAACUUCCCAUCCACGGUUAAAUAUAGUAUUUCUGAUGGUGUCUUGACUAUUAUCAUUUGUAGCCAUGAAAGUACGUUCGUCAGUGAAGAAAAUGUGUGAGUUUUGUCGGACGAUCAAACGACGUGGACGAGUUUAUGUAUUAUGCACUUCCAAUCCCAAACAUAAACAGCGUCAGGGCUUCUCAACAUUUGCCUAUGAAGGUCCAUUACCUCCAACGUAUGUAUCUGAGUUUCUUUCUUCAUUUCUGUUUACAAGUACAUGCAUGUGUACUUUUAAGAUUUUCAGAAAUGAAAUGUCUGUUCAUUACACCAUUGUUGAUACAAUUCGCUUAUUUUUAAACUUCUAUAUGGAAUCAUGAUCAAGUAUCCUGACAUGACUGUUUGAAAUACAUAAAUGCAGCGAAAAUAAGGAUUUAAAAACGUUUAAACCCAC